rnacentral:rRNA from 1 species
UACGGAGGGGGCUAGCGUUGUUCGGAAUUACUGGGCGUAAAGCGCACGUAGGCGGCUUUGCAAGUUAGAGGUGAAAGCCCGGGGCUCAACCCCGGAAUUGCCUUUAAAACUGCAUCGCUAGAAUUGUGGAGAGGUAAGUGGAAUUCCGAGUGUAGAGGUGAAAUUCGUAGAUAUUCGGAAGAACACCAGUGGCGAAGGCGGCUUCCUGGCCUGUUCUUGACGCUGAGGCGCGAAAGCUAGGGGAGCAAACGGG